GGAAGAUGGCUCAGUGGUAGAGUGCUUGCCUUGCAUGCAUGAGGCCCUGGGUUUGAUUCCUCACCACUUCCG
rnacentral:tRNA from 1 species